CCCUGUGUGGUGCAAACGGUUAAGUGCUUGGCUGCUAACCAAAAGACUGACGGUUCGAAUCCGCCCAGAGGCG
rnacentral:tRNA from 1 species